rnacentral:rRNA from 1 species
UACAGAGGGUGCGAGCGUUGUUCGGAUUUACUGGGCGUAAAGGGCGCGUAGGCGCUUGUCAGUCAGGCGUGAAAGCCCCGGGCUCAACCUGGGAACGGCGCUUGGGACGGCGAGGCUGGAGUUCGGGAGAGGAGAGUGGAAUUCCCAGUGUAGAGGUGAAAUUCGUAGAUAUUGGGAAGAACACCGGUGGCGAAGGCGGCUCUCUGGACCGACACUGACGCUGAGGCGCGAAAGCGUGGGGAGCAAACAGG